ACGAGGCCCCCGGUUGACUAGGAGCUGGCGGUCCGAGCUGUGGCUUGGAAGACCGACGCGAUGAAGCCCAGACCUGCAGGGUUCGUGGAUAAUAAACUCAAGCAGCGAGUCAUCCAGUAUAGACUAUGGUCGAAGAAAAAGAAAUGCUUUUAGGAUUCAGGUAGAAAAAGUAUUUAGCAUAAUUAGUAGUGAGAAGGAACUUAAGAAUUUAACAGAAUUAGAAGAUGAACAUUUGGCAAAAAGGGCAAGACAAGGUGAAGAGGAUAAUGAUCAGCAAAUCACAUGAACAGUUCCCUGCUGUCUUUAUAUCGGAAAGGAAAUCCUGAUUCUGUUUCAAAUACUCCUGAGAUGGAGCAAAGAGAAACCACCUCUUCAACACCACGGAUAAGUUCCAAAACAGGCUCCAUUCCCUUGAAGACCCCUGCCAAAGAUUCUGAAGGAGGAUGGUUUAUUGACAAAACCCCAAGUGUAAAGAAAGACAGUUUUUUCUUGGACCUGUCAUGUGAGAAAAGUAAUCCUAAGAAGCCAAUAACUGAGAUACAGGUAUU
rnacentral:lncRNA from 1 species